rnacentral:rRNA from 1 species
UACGAAGGGGGCUAGCGUUGCUCGGAAUCACUGGGCGUAAAGCGCACGUAGGCGGCUUUCUAAGUCAGGGGUGAAAUCCUGGAGCUCAACUCCAGAACUGCCUUUGAUACUGGAGAGCUUGAGUCCGGAAGAGGUGAGUGGAACUCCGAGUGUAGAGGUGAAAUUCGUAGAUAUUCGGAGGAACACCAGUGGCGAAGGCGGCGACCUGGAACGUGACUGACACUGAGCAGCGAAAGCGUGGGGAGCAAACAGG